GCUUUGAUCGACUAGGAAACCUUGUUU
rnacentral:piRNA from 1 species